rnacentral:rRNA from 1 species
UACGUAGGUGGCAAGCGUUGUCCGGAUUUACUGGGCGUGAAGAGCGCGCAGGCGGUCGUGCAAGUCGCGUGUGAAAGCCCCCGGCUCAACUGGGGAGGGUCACGCGAUACUGCUCGACUCGAAGGCAGGAGAGGGAAGUGGAAUUCCCGGUGUAGUGGUGAAAUGCGUAGAUAUCGGGAGGAACACCAGUGGCGAAGGCGACUUCCUGGCCUGUUCUUGACGCUGAGGCGCGAAAGCUAGGGUAGCAAACGGG